GUGGGGAAUCUUCCGCAAUGGACGAAAGUCUGACGGAGCAACGCCGCGUGAGUGAAGAAGGUUUUCGGAUCGUAAAGCUCUUUCGUUAGGGACGAACGUGCUCUUUGUGAAUAAUGAGGAGUAAUGACGGUACCUAAAUAAGAAGCCACGGCUAACUACGUGCCAGCAGCCGCGGUAAUACGUAGGUGGCAAGCGUUGUCCGGAAUUAUUGGGCGUAAAGCGCGCGCAGGCGGGAUAUCAAGUCUGUCUUAAAAGUGCGAGGCUCAACCUCGUGAGGGGACAGAAACUGGUAUUCUUGAGUGUCGGAGAGGAAAGUGGAAUUCCAAGUGUAGCGGUGAAAUGCGUAGAGAUUUGGAAGAACACCAGUGGCGAAGGCGACUUUCUGGACGAUGUCUGACGCUGAGGCGCGAAAGCGUGGGGAUCGAACAGGAUUAGAAACCCUUGUAGUCC
rnacentral:rRNA from 1 species